AGUGAACGCUGGCGGUAGGCCUAACACAUGCAAGUCGAACGGCAGCACAGUAAGAGCUUGCUCUUACGGGUGGCGAGUGGCGGACGGGUGAGGAAUACAUCGGAAUCUACUUUUUCGUGGGGGAUAACGUAGGGAAACUUACGCUAAUACCGCAUACGACCUACGGGUGAAAGCAGGGGAUCUUCGGACCUUGCGCGAUUGAAUGAGCCGAUGUCGGAUUAGCUAGUUGGCGGGGUAAAGGCCCACCAAGGCGACGAUCCGUAGCUGGUCUGAGAGAAUGAUAAGCGACAGUGGAAGUGAGACACCGUCCAGACUCCUACGGGAGGCAGCAGUGGGGAAUAUUGGGCGAUGGGCGCAAGCCUGAUCCAGCCAUACCGCGUGGGUGAAGGAGGCAUUCGGGUUGUAAAGCCCUUUUGUUGGGAAAGAAAAGCAGCAGGUUAAUACGCCGCUGUUAUGACGGUACCCAAAGAAUAAGCACCGGCUAACUUCGUG
rnacentral:rRNA from 1 species